rnacentral:rRNA from 1 species
GACGAACGCUGGCGGCGUGCUUAACACAUGCAAGUCGAACGAAGUGGCGAACGGGUGAGUAACGCGUAAUCCACCUGCCCUUCAGGGGGGGACAACAGUUGGAAACGACUGCUAAUACCGCAUACUGAAGGAGGGGAUUGCGUUUGAUUAGCUAGUUGGAGGGGUAACGGCCCACCAAGGCGAAGAUCAGUAGCCGGGUUGAGAGGAUGAAUGGGUCAAUUGGGACUUGGACACCGCCCCGAACCCUACGGGAGGCAGCAGUGGGGAAGUUUCCGCAAUUGACGGAAGUCUGACUCAGGCACGCCGGGGGGGGGAUGACGGCUCUCGGGUUGGUAAGGUCUUUUAAUCGGGACGCGGUACCUGAAUAGAAAGCCACGGCUAACUACGUGCCAGCAGCCGCGGUAAUUC